rnacentral:rRNA from 1 species
CCUACGGGAGGCAGCAGGGAGGAAUAUUGGACAAUGGGGGCAACCCUGAUCCAGCGACGCCGCGUGGGCGAUGAAGGUCUUCGGAUCGUAAAGCCCUUUUCUGAGGGAAGAGCAAGGACGGUACCUCAGGAAUAAGUCUCGGCUAACCACGUGCCAGCAGCCGCGGUAAAACGUAGGAGGCAAGCGUUAUCCGGAUUUACUGGGCGUAAAGCGCGUGCAGGCGGUGGUGCAAGUUGGGCGUAAAAUCUCCCGGCUCAACUGGGAGGGGCCGUCCAAUACUGCAUCACUUGAGGGCAGGAGAGGGAAGUGGAAUUCCCGGUGUAGCGGUAAUAUGCGCAGAUAUCGGGAGGAACACCAGUGGCGAAGGCGGCUUCCUGGCCUGUUCCUGACGCUAAGACGCGAAAGCUAGGGGAGCAAACGGGAUUAGAUACCCCGGUAGUCC